rnacentral:misc_RNA from 1 species
GUGGCUUCAUGAAGAUCAUCUUCGUCGAGUUAUUAGAUCCCGAUGGGUCCAGGGCGGCGACACGGCGGCGAUUGAUGUAACUAAUUAUGAGAGGGAUGAAAAUAAUUGGCCAUCCGCCGGUUUCUAGAAAGCUAGAGAGCCAGACGCGCUUUCCGCCGUGAACGAAAUACAAACGCAUAACCAAAGGACCGCCGCAGUUACCGACGGCCAACAAAAAGCAAUUGAAAACUAGAAGAGUUGUUUUCAUGGCAGUGGUGGUUUUUU